rnacentral:rRNA from 1 species
UACGUAGGGGGCUAGCGUUGUCCGGAUUUAUUGGGCGUAAAGAGCGUGUAGGCGGCUUGUACAGUCAGGCGUGAAAUUCCUGGGCUCAACCUGGGGGCUGCGUUUGAUACGUGCGGGCUUGAGUUCGGAAGAGGGUCGUGGAAUUCCCAGUGUAGAGGUGAAAUUCGUAGAUAUUGGGAAGAACACCGGUGGCGAAGGCGGCGACCUGGUCCGAUACUGACGCUGAGGCGCGAAAGCUAGGGGAGCAAACGGG